rnacentral:rRNA from 1 species
AGAGUUUGAUCCUGGCUCAGGAUGAACGCUAGCUACAGGCCUAACACAUGCAAGUCGUGGGGCAGCGGGUAUGCUUGUUUUCAAGUAUAUGCCGGCGACCGGCGCACGGGUGAGUAACGCGUAUCCAACCUGCCCAUCACAAGGGAAUAACCCGUCGAAAGUCGGCCUAAUGCCCUAUGUAUUCCGAUGAAGUCCUCUGAAUCGGAAUAAAGCAUUUGCGGUGAUGGAUGGGGAUGCGUCUGAUUAGCUUGUCGGCGGGGUAACGGCCCACCGAGGCGACGAUCAGUAGGGGUUCUGAGAGGAAGGUCCCCCACAUUGGAACUGAGACACGGUCCAAACUCCUACGGGAGGCAGCAGUGAGGAAUAUUGGUCAAUGGGCGUAAGCCUGAACCAGCCAAGUAGCGUGCAGGAUGACGGCCCUAUGGGUUGUAAACUGCUUUUAUGCGGGGAUAAAGUGGCCCACGUGUGGGUUUUUGCAGGUACCGCAUGAAUAAGGACCGGCUAAUUCCGUGCCAGCAGCCGCGGUAAUACGGAAGGUCCGGGCGUUAUCCGGAUUUAUUGGGUUUAAAGGGAGCGUAGGCCGUGGAUUAAGCGUGUUGUGAAAUGUAGACGCUCAACGUCUGACUUGCAGCGCGAACUGGUCCACUUGAGUGUGCGCAACGCAGGCGGAAUUCGUCGUGUAGCGGUGAAAUGCUUAGAUAUGACGAAGAACUCCGAUUGCGAAGGCAGCUUGCGGGAGCACAACUGACGCUGAAGCUCGAAAGUGCGGGUAUCGAACAGGAUUAGAUACCCUGGUAGUCCGCACGGUAAACGAUGGAUGCCCGUUGUCAGGCUGUUUCAGCCUGGUGACCAAGCGAAAGCAUUAAGCAUCCCACCUGGGGAGUACGCCGGCAACGGUGAAACUCAAAGGAAUUGACGGGGGCCCG